rnacentral:misc_RNA from 1 species
GGAGUAAAAGUCGUAACAAGGUUUCCGUAGGUGAACCUGCGGAAGGAUCAUUCAUAAUAAAGUGUUUUAUGGCACUUUUUAAAAAUCCAUAUCCACCUUGUGUGCAAUGUUAGAUCUCGUCAAUCUUGGCGAGAUUUUUAUACAUCAACUCAUUCUUUAACUAAUUUGUCUGAAAAAUAUUAUGAAUACUUAAUUCAAAAUACAACUUUCAACAACGGAUCUCUUGGCUCUC